rnacentral:sRNA from 1 species
CAACAAACGAAAGGAGGUGAUCCGAUGUCUAGCGAUUUCUCGAAGCCGAUGAGGUCUUCGCGGAAAGUCCGCGCUUCGGAGCAGCCUCCGGCAGCGCGCUGACCGCCGAAAUCGAACCAGGAUUUCGAGGCCGUUCGGCCGAGGAAAUUGCGGGGGCCGCCCGAAGGACGGCCCU